rnacentral:rRNA from 1 species
GACGAACGCUGGCGGCGUGCCUAAUACAUGCAAGUAGAACGCUGAAGAGAGGAGCUUGCUCUUCUUGGAUGAGUUGCGAACGGGUGAGUAACGCGUAGGUAACCUGCCUGGUAGCGGGGGAUAACUAUUGGAAACGAUAGCUAAUACCGCAUAAAAUUGAUUAUUGCAUGAUACUUAAUUGAAAGAUGCAACUGCAUCACUACCAGAUGGACCUGCGUUGUAUUAGCUAGUUGGUGAGGUAACGGCUCACCAAGGCGACGAUACAUAGCCGACCUGAGAGGGUGAUCGGCCACACUGGGACUGAGACACGGCCCAGACUCCUACGGGAGGCAGCAGUAGGGAAUCUUCGGCAAUGGGGGGAACCCUGACCGAGCAACGCCGCGUGAGUGAAGAAGGGUUUCGGAUCGUAAAGCUCGGUUGUAAGAGAAGAACGGGUGUGAGAGUGGAAAGUUCACACUGUGGCGGUAUCUUACCAGAAAGGGACGGCUAACUACGUG